rnacentral:rRNA from 1 species
AGUCCCGGCUAAUCUCGUGCCAGCAGCCGCGGUAAUACGGGAGGGGCAAGCGUUAUCCGAAAUAACUGGGCGUAAAGGGUCCGUAGAUUGUAUUGUAAGUUAUUUGUUAAAUUCUAAAGCUCAACUUUAGAAAAUUCAUUUAAUACUACUAUACUUGAGUUUAAAUCAGAAGAAUAGAAUUUCAUGUUGAGAAGUAAACUAUCGUAGACACAUGAAGGAACACCGUCGGUGAAGUCGAUUCUUUAGUAAAAACUGACGUUGAGGGACGAAAGUGUAGGUAUCAAACAGGAUUAGAUACCCUGGUAGUCUACACUGUAAAUUCUGAGUGCUGUAAUUUAAUUAAUUUUAGAUUUUUUAAGCUAACGCAAUAAGCACUCCGCCUGAGGAGUACGGCCGCAAGGUUGGAACUCAAAGGAAUUGACGGGGGCCUACAACGAGUGGUGGAGCAUGUGGUUUAAUGCGAUAAUCCGCGCAAAACCUUACCAGCCUUUGUAAAUAUAAUAAUUUGUAAUGUUUAAUGUAAAAAUUGCACGCAUAACGAAAUAUAAUACAGGUGUUGCACGACUGUCGUCAGCUCGUGUCGUAAGAUGUUUGGUUCAUUCCUUUAACGAGCGCAACUCUUAUUUUUAAGUAAUUUCAUACUUUUAAGAAGAAUUUUUUGUUAAUUCUUCAAUUAAGCUAUAAAUAAUACUCAGUCAAUGAUAAGUUGAAGGAAGGUAAGAAUUAAGUCAAGUCACUGUGGCCCUUAUAGGCUGGGCUACACACGUGCUACAAUAAAAAUUACAGAAACGUACUAAAAUUAAAACAAAUUUUAGUUAGUUAAAGAUUUUUUUUACGGAUUGUAAGCUGCAACUCGUUUACAUGAAGUUGGAAUCACUAGUAAUCGCAAAUCAGAAUGUUGCGGUGAAUACGUACCUUGGCCUUGUACACACCGCCCGUCACAUGCAGAGAACUAGUUUCACUUGAAAAUUUAAUGGUCGUUAGAAAAGAUAUUUUUCUUUGCGCUUAUUAGGUUCAUUGCGAAAUUGAUGAUUUGGAUGAAGUCGUAACAAGGUAGCUGUACGGGAACGUGUAGCUG